CUACGGGCGGCUGCAGUGAGGAAUAUUGCACAAUGGGGGGAACCCUGAUGCAGCAACGCCGCGUGGAGGAUGACGCAUUUCGGUGUGUAAACUCCUUUUAUAUGUCAAGAAAAUGACGGUAGCAUAUGAAUAAGCACCGGCUAACUCCGUGCCAGCAGCCGCGGUAAUACGGAGGGUGCAAGCGUUACUCGGAAUCACUGGGCGUAAAGGACGCGUAGGCGGGUUGGAAAGUCAGGUGUGAAAUCCUACAGCUUAACUGUAGAACUGCACUUGAAACUUCUAAUCUAGAGUAUGGGAGAGGGAGAUGGAAUUAGUGGUGUAGGGGUAAAAUCCGUAGAUAUCACUAGGAAUACCUAAAGCGAAGGCGAUCUCCUGGAGCAUUACUGACGCUAAGGCGUGAAAGCGUGGGGAGCAAACAGGAUUAGAUACCCUUGUAGUC
rnacentral:rRNA from 1 species